AUUGAACGCUGGCGGCAUGCUUUACACAUGCAAGUCGAACGGUAACAGGAUGCUUGCACCGCUGACGAGUGGCGAACGGGUGAGUAAUGCGUCGGAACGUGCCGAGUAGUGGGGGAUAACGCAUCGAAAGGUGUGCUAAUACCGCAUACGUACUGAGGUAGAAAGUGGGGGACCUUCGGGCCUCACGCUAUUCGAGCGGCCGACGUCUGAUUAGCUAGUUGGUGAGGUAAAGGCUCACCAAGGCGACGAUCAGUAGCGGGUCUGAGAGGAUGAUCCGCCACGCUGGGACUGGGACACGGCGCAGACUCCUACGGGAGGCAGGAGUGGGGAAUUUUGGACAAUGGGCGCAAGCCUGAUCCAGCCAUGCCGCGUGUCUGAAGAAGGCCUUCGGGCUGUAAAGGACUUUUGUCCGGGAGCAAAUACCCAGUGCUAAUAACGCUGGGGGCUGAGAGUACCGGAAGAAUAAGCACCGGCUAACUACGUGCCAGCAGCCGCCGUAAAAC
rnacentral:rRNA from 1 species